GCUGAGCCAAGUCUUCCAAAUUUGAAUAUUGAUUUGUUGUGCUGUUUUUUUGCCCUCAGACUUCACACACCAAGCAAUAUCUUCUUCAGGCGGGGCAUAGGACUCUCCUCCUAGAAAAGGUGAAAAUAAUAAUAAUAAUAAUAAUAAUAAUAAUAAUAAUAAUAAUAGUUUACACACAUCUUUGGAGGGAACUGACAGGAAAUCUCUAGCCAGACUUUUUACAGAGUCCUGAAUGCAGUCUAGAGGGUUUGAUGGCUUUCAGAGCUAGUAAUUAAAGUACCAUAUAAAUGUGGUGGUUUUUCUUCAAGAUGUUUUUCCACUCUGUGGGUUUCAUUUUGCUGUGGAAUAAACAGCGCCGGGAGGGAUGCAUUCAUGGAUUCACACAUUCCAGCCACCAAAAGGUUUAAUUUCAACUUUAAAAGUCUUCUGUAGAUUGUAGCUUUUGUCGUCACAAAUGGGAAGCUCAGUAAGAAUAUAUUUAUCCCAAGCAUGCUCAUCCUAGCCUUGUGUCUGAUGUAAAGUACUGGCAUUUCUAAUAAAAUUAGGAUGUGAUUCUUCUUUUUUUGAGCUAGUUAAUGAUAGUAGAAACUGGAGAUUGUCAGCCAGCCCCCAGCAUGUCAGGGUAGAUGCAGGGGCACUUCAAAACCAGUCAUCUCAUCCCCUAUAAAAUAGGUUUCUUUCUUACUAACAUUAACGAAAAAGCUGAAUUUCCCCUUGUAAAUUGCAAUGGGUGAAGGAAAAUGGCAUGACAGAUAAGCAGAUCCUGUGGGCCUUAUUCAACGAGGGCCUUAUUCAACAAGUCACUAACUAUUUUUUAAAAAUAAUAUUUUAAUAUAUUUUUUAUUCAGUUUUGAAAACUUAAAAACACAUUAACUUCAAAUUCAAUAUAUGUUUCUCUUGCAAAAUGAACAAGGUGACUUCCUACCCUUACCUCUGUGGUGAUUUUAUUCCCACCCAUAAUCUGCUGAAUUAUAUGUCAAACUAUAUCUAAUACACAUUUCCUCUGUUACAUUUAUUGUCACUCUCAAUCCACUGCUCAUAAUUGAAAUCCUGCCCGCAAAUUCAUUUGACUACAGUUCUUUCUCAAAUAUUAAAAAAGAAGAAUUUUCCAUUCUUCAAUAAAAAGUUCGGCACUUUGGUCUCUCACUCUUACUGUCAACUUCCCCAGUUCCAAUCAGUCUGGCUAACCUAAUCCAAACACACACACACACACACACACACACACACACACCCCACUCACACACAAAAGCAAAUCUCACUACAACCAACCACAGACAACCAACCACACUCUAGAGCACCCCCAACCUCUCUCACCACCAAGGAAAUACAACAAGUGGAUAGCAACAGAACCCACACAAGUGACGCUAACACAAAACCCCACACAUACACUAAGUAGAAGAAUAGAAGCAAUGUCACCCAACCCCACCCCACUCACCAUUCCCCCUCCCCCUCUUUCACCCUCUUUUCUUCCUAACCUAACAAUGUAUUCAACACUAAUGUCUCACAACAAAUAAAACUGAUCUGUAGAAAACACAACUUGGAAAAAGAGACAAGGCAUGUAUAUUUGUAAACUAAUAAAUCUUUAAUAAAUAUAUAUAUAUUAAAAAACAACAACUUUCCCAGUUCCUCAUAGUUCAUUAGUUUUGCAGUCCAUUCCUCUUCGGUUGGGACAUUUUCUUCCUUCCAAUUUUGCACUUAUAGGAUUCUGGCAGCUGUUGUUGCAUACAUAAAUAGUUCAAUCAUCUUCUUUGGGACAUUUGUCCCCAAUAUCCCUAGAAGAAAAGCCUCAGGGGGGAUUACCAAUUAUAACAUCUUCAUUUCAUUAUAUAUCAUUUCCCAAAACCCCUUGGCUUUUUCACACGUCCAUCACAUCUGAAAGAAAUGACCCUUCAGUAUGCUUGCAUUACCAACAUUUACUUGACACAGUCUUAUACAUCAUAGCCAGUUUAUUUGGCAUCAAAUACCACCUGUAUAUCAUUCAUAGAGUUUCUUGGCAACUUAGUACCCUAGGAAGGUUCUUUGGGCAUAUUGGGCAGGCUUUGGUUGAUAUCUGACUGGUGGCAGGCAUGAUACGUUGCAACCUUUUAAAUCAGGAGUAGGCAACCAAAGGCCCGGGUGAUGCCUUCUCAAUCUGGCCAGCGGACAGUCUGGGAAUCAGCGUGUUUUUAUAUGAGUAGGAUGUGUGCUUUUAUUUAAAAUGCAUCUCUGGGUUAUUUGUGGGGCCUGCCUGGUAUUUUUACAUGAGUAGGAUGUGUGCUUUUAUUUAAAAUGCAUCUCUGGGUUAUUUGUGGGGCCUGCCUGGUAUUUUUACAUGAGUAGGAUGUGUGCUUUUAUUUAAAAUGCAUCUCUGGGUUAUUUGUGGGGCCUGCCUGGUAUUUUUACAUGAGUAGGAUGUGUGCUUUUAUUUAAAAUGCAUCUCUGGGUUAUUUGUGGGGCCUGCCUGGUAUUUUUACAUGAGUAGGAUGUGUGCUUUUAUUUAAAAUGCAUCUCUGGGUUAUUUGUGGGGCAUAGGAAUUCAUUCUUUCCCCCCUCCAAAAUAUAGUCCAGCCCACCACAUGGUCUGAGGGACAGUGGGCCAGCCCACGGCUGAAAAAAGUUGCUGACCUCUGUUUUAAAUCAUUGGCACUUACACUGCUGAUUCCUCUGCGUCUUCUCUUGCAAAGUGAUAUGAGUCCCAGUGGCACCUGGUGCUUAUUGGGGCUGGUAGGAAAACGUUGAUAGGUGGAACCAGAGACAAUGACAGGCAGAGCCAUCUAAUUCUAUUUCUGUCCUAUCUGCCUUCCUGCUGCAUUCUAGAAGGACAAAACUGAGACUGAAAAGGAGGAAGCUGGCAACUAGGGCCAGCCCCCUGGGUUGGCUGUAAGUCAGACAGACUGGUAGACAGACAUUCCACCUGAAUGGAGCUGCUGGAUGUGGUGUAGUGGUUAAGAGCAGUGGACUCGUAAUCUGGUGAACCGGGUUUGCUUCCCCGCUCUUCCACAUGCAGCUGCUGGAUGACCUUGGGCCAGUCACACUUCCCUGAAAUCUCUCAGCCCCACUCACCUCACAGAGUGUUUGUUGUGGGGGAGGAAGGGAAAGGAGAUUGUUAGCCGCUUUGAGACUCCUUAGGGUAGUGAUAAAGCGGGAUAUCAAAUCCAAACUCUCCUCCUCCUCCUCCUCCUCCUCCUCCUCCUCCUCCUCCUUCUUCUUCUUCUUCUUCCAUCCCUAGUCCCUGUCUCCUAGCCAGGGUGGCAUCUUACCUGCAUCACCCAGACACACAUCCUGCUCUCUCUAAUUGCCUGUGUUGCUGAGCUGAGGCCCACCAAUGGAGGAGCAAUCACACGCAUUUGGGAAAAAUAAAUAUUUGCACACAAUGAUCUGGUGGAUGGUUUUCUUAAAAGCCUUUCUGUGCUUUCUAUUGCUAAGUUACCCGAGGAAUGAUUGAUUGAGUCAGUUUGCAAUGUGGACUCAUGUUCUCCUCCCUAUUUGCACUUAUACUGGACACAAGAAGGGGGAAGGGCUCAAAUAAGGUGCUUUCGAUGUGCGUUGAUGUUCAAACAGGCCCAUAGAUCCGGGCUGCGGAACCUGUGGCCUUCCUUAUGUGGCUGGACUAGGGACCAUCAGCCCCCACCAUUGGCUGUGUUAAGUGGGACUGAUGGGAGUUGGAGUCCAGCAACAUCUGGAGGACCACAGGUUUCCUUAGCUCUAUCAUAGAGCUAAGGAGAGCUUAGCUCUAUCAUAGAGCAUUUAUUUAGCUUUGAGUGAACUCCUUCCAAGGAUGAUGAUGAUGAUGAUUUACUGUAUUUCUUGCUCUAUAAGACGCACAAGACCAUAAGAUGCACCUAGUUUUUGGACGAGGAAAACAAGAAAAAAAAUAUUCUGAAUCCCAGAAGCCAGAACAGCAAGAGGGAUCUGGCUUCUGGGAUAGCCUCUUGCUGUUCUGGCUUAUGGGAUAGCCGUGUGCAGCCUCUCCCGGGCAGUGGGAUGAAGGCCCCCCUCCCGGAAGAGGCUGCACGCGGCUAAGCCAGAAGCCAGGACAGCAAGCAGUGAUCCCGCUUGCUGCCCUGGUUUCUGGCUUAGACGUGUGCAGCCUCUCCCGGGCAGCCGGAUGAAGGCUCCCCCAAGAGCCACGCUCCCUUUAAAGAGUGCAUAUGUGGCUCUUGGGGGCAGGGGCUUUUCCCCUAGGAGGGAGAAGGGCAGCCCUUUUCCCUCCUCGGGGAAAAGCCCCCAAGAGCACGCUCUACGCGGCUCUUUAAAGGGAGCACUGAGCAAAGCCUCCCGCCUGCAUUCGCUCCAUAAGACACACACACACAUUUCCCCUUACUUUAUGGAGGGGGAAAGUGCGUCUUAUAUAGAGCGAUAAAUACAGUAUUCAAUUUGUAUACCACUCUUCAUCCAAAGAUCCCAGAGUGGUUCACAACAGAAAAAUACAAAAUAAGAAUAUGAAAUACAUAACAAAAACAAACACAGUUACUGAACUCCCCUCCCACAAACACAUUUAUAAAGCCAUAGGUUGUUAAUCAGCCAAAUGCCUGGUUAAAGAGAAACGUUUUCGCCUGGCACCUAAAUAUAUAUGUAAUGAAGGCACCAGGCGAAUGCCUCUGGGGAGAGCAUUCCACAAAUGGGGAGCCACGUGCUGAUGUGCUACCUUUCUAUGGGGUGGGUGCUUUUGUUGUGAGAGAACAUUCACUUGUGUGCUUUUCCCCUCCUGCGCACUGAAGUGGAACAGUCUUAGAAUGAUGGUACCACAAAACCCUCCCUGAACUGAAAAUCUGGUGUUAGUAUUUCCUAUGACAAGGGCGAAACUAGGCUUUAUUUCACCCGAGUAAAAGACCCAGUUUCACCCGGGUCAAAGACUCCCCCCCCACAUUUGCUUACACACACACAGGUUGGGAACCUCACUUGGGGCAAAAAACCCAGCUAGCCCCCUCGCCCCCAGCUAUGGCUCUGCCUGUGAACAUAACCUGAAUAUUUUUUGGGGGGAGGGGGGAAAUCCUCCUGAGUAGCUUACAGCACAAUUCCCAUACACCUGCUCUGAAUUAUGUUGCAUGAGUUCAGUGAGGCUUAGUACCAGGUAUUGCCUAUAGGAUUCUAGCUUAAGAGUAGGACCUACCCACAACCCUCUCCUUCCCCCUCUCCCCCCUCUUUCCCCCUAAUGUCUAGGACAAUAGUGUCUCAUACCAAAUGUAAAUGAACUGUGAAAAAGACUCUAUGACUUCAAAUUGGAGGUCCUAUUAGCCAGGCAGUGUCUGAUUCACAAACUCAGAUUAUCCACAUCUAGGUGGCCUUAGAUAAGCCACUCUUCUGUCAGCCCUGACACAGAUCUAAUAUGCUGUUGUUGUUGUUUAGUCAUUUAGUUGUGUCCGACUCUUCGUGACCCCAUGGGCCAGAGCACGCCAGGCACUCCUGUCUUCCACUGCCUCCCGCAGUUUGGUCAAACUCAUGUUCGUAGCUUCGAGAACACUGUCCAACCAUCUCGUCCUCUGUCAUCCCCUUUUCCUUGAGCCCUCCAUCUUUCCCAACAUCAGGUUCUUUUCCAGGGAGUCUUCUCUUCUCAUGAGGUGGCCAAAGUAUUGGAGCCUCAGCUUCAGGAUCUGUCCUUCCAGUGAGCACUCAGGGCUGAUUUCCUUAAGAAUGGAGAGGUUUGAUCUUCUGCAGUCCAUGGGACUCUCAAGAGUCUCCUCCAACACCAUAAUUCAAAAGCAUCAAUUUAUAGUGAUCACAAUACUAACUUAGCAUACAUGGUCUUGGUAAGGAUAGAACUGAGAUGGAACACGUUGGACACUUGUUAGUGCUAUAUAAAUAUUCACGUUUCUUAUCAUUAAUAUUAUUAACGAUUUCUGCACACACUUAAAUGGGUAAGCAAAAUAAUCUCUCCCUCAUAACUCCCUCAUCAUUUUAUUAUAUUUAUAUCCCAUAUUUCCUGCUGAGAGCUCAAGGUGGCCCAUAUACUCAUCCCUUCCUAAAUUUUAUCGGUGAAGCAUAAGCCUCUUAAUGCCAGGGUCAUGGGUUCAAGUUCCAUGUUAGACAAAAAGAUUCCUGCAUUGCAGACGGUUGGAUUAGAUGGCCCAUGGGGUCCCUUCCAACUCUAUGAUUCUGUGACCCUGUGAGGUACAUUAGGCUGAGAGAUAGUGACCAGUCUAAAGUAGGCUUCAUGCUCAAGUAUGGAACUGAACCUGGUUCACAACACCUGAACCUAACUUGGCCCCCACUCCCUCAGAGGCCACCUCACCAUCAACUGGGGCAUCUGCCUCAAGUGUCAGAUCCUGGCCACCAUUGGGCCAAGUGAGUAGGAUUUACCUGAAUGGACACAAUCCACCGGAAUUUUUUCCCUAUGUAACCAUCAGUGAAACGACUAGAGCACUAUGUUUCAGUGUUAAGGAAAAAGAUCCACUGGUUUUAUGGGUUAUCCAUCAUGUUUACUGGUGAGGAGCUGGGAAUGCUGUUUGAAUUUUCCACCUUGGAAACCAAACAGUAUGAGUCAGACCCUGGUCCGACCCAGACUUUUUUUCCUGUUGUACAGAACUUGGAAAGUACUGGCACCUUGGAAAGUUUUGAAAGAGAACUUUAAUUCUAAACACUUGUUGCCUUUUGAAUACCACCUCCAUAAUUCUUAGCUUUGGAAAUAUCACUGUCUUCUAAAAACACCACCACCAGGCUGAUAUAAAUUUUGGAAGGAAUACACACACAAAAAUUGGAUUUGCUAUUUAAAGAGAGGUUUUGUGGAAUGCAUUUGGAGAUAUUCUCUUUCAAGUUGCCUUUCGUAUGUGCAGUAACAGAUAAUUUAUUCACAAAGACAGCCACGGGAUUCCAUGGCUGCCUUUUUAAAACCAAGCUCAAAGGUGUCAGAUUUGUCACAUUUAUUUUGCUGAAUUUGGAGCCAAAAAGAAACCUCAAAUAUUGGGCCAAGAGGAGGAAGCCAUAAGGGUAUUUUGAAGGCACAGUUCUUAAACAGAAGAGCUAAAGGGGGGGAAUGGGGUGCCUUUUCUGCAACACCCAUAAGCACAUUUCACUGAUUUUGAUGAAAGGCACACCUAAGCAACUCAGCUGAGGGUGGUACCGCUAGUAUAUUAAACAAAGAAGCAAACAAGUCUCAAAACACACACACACAACUGAUAUCAAUUAAAUUGACUUCUAAGCAACUCAGUUUUGGAUUGCAUCUUUAGCAAGCUAAAAUUGAAAAUAAAACAAACUGUUCUUGGCUAAGUCAGGCUGCAAGGCUGCAUUUUCAGCCAUCCAUCUUCAUCCUCAAGCGCUUACUGUAGCACGAAGUCUCGUGUUCGGUGCGUUUUACUUCUGAGUAAACAUACUUAAGAUUAUUCUACAGCGUUACCGAAACUUUGGGGGUUUAUGUUAAAAAACAGCAAUUUUACAGUGCACUCCUUACGCAAAAGUAAGUGUCACUGAGCCCAAGAAAGUUUACUCCAGGCAAAUGGGUAUGGAUGGCAAGUUUGGUGUUCUGCAACAUGUUAGAGCAUUAGUGGUGGAUUGAUAGCAGGCACCGGACUGCUUUUUCUUGGAGAAGCAGAUAAAAACAAACUAGCAAGCAAGCAAACAUACAAUUUCUCUUGAAAACAGCAACGUAGAAAACAAGUUCUCCCUCUCAAGUCCUGUUAGAUUGUGCCCAAAAUAAAAUAACUGGGAGGGUCGAAACGGCAGGUGUAAUAAAACCAAACCUUCCUCCUUUUCAAAAACAAUCUUAAGCAUGCCUCCUUAAAGGUUAAGUUCCACUGAGUUCUAGUUCUAUGAUGUUUACUCCCAGGAAAGUGGGUAUACGACCCUGGCAGUCUUUCUUUCCUUCUCACCUGCCUCAAUACGCUGUUUGUCUAGCAACUUCUCUCCCACAUAUUUUCGGAAGGCAAUUUGGUGGCGCGUGGAUUCUUCUGCUGCGCUUUUCCUUUGCCCUCCGGAGCCUUAGAAAUUAAAGCGCCAGGUAGAAGCAACUGCAAAGCGCCAGAUCUAAUGAACGCUUCCUACAAUCUAUCUUUGAGAAGGAAAGGAGCGAGCAGAAGAGGUGUUUGGUUAGUUUUUUCGAGUUACAGCUAGAGUGGAUAAAUUAUCAGAUGAGAAUGAUGCCUUAUUUCAUAACGAUAGUAAUAUAUAUAUAUAUAUCACAUUAUUAUUAUUAUUAUUAUUAUUAUUAUUAUUAUUAUUAUUAUUCCUUAUUUUAAUUUAUUUCAUUUAGUCAAUUUAUACACCUCUUAAUGUAAUAAAAAAGUCUACGCGAUUUAAAAGAAUAUCAGCAGGGUUAUUUGAGGUGGGGUGGAAUGGGGGAGACGAAGGCCGAGUCAGUGCCACAGUUCAAUUAUAAGCCAUCGCCUGGAACUGAAUAAUGUAAAAAAAUAAAUUACUGAGCCAGGACAUUUCUUUAAUGCACUUUGAAAAGCGCUCUCUCUUUCUCACCCUCUCUGGCACCGCACGCACAUAUACAUAUUAGGGUACAGUGCGGAAUAGAAGGUGAGAUCAGUUCCCCUUCUUAGGUUUGAUGCAUUCCGACAUUUCCUCCCAAGCCUCAAAAUCCCGACUCCUUGAUUUUCUUGAAGACUAGGCGCACUAGUGCCACGCUGCUCUCAUUGUUUGUCACACGAUUCCUCCUCCCAGACCCACAAGGAGCACGAUCUGAAAUCCUACUGGUGUCAUUGGGAAGGUUUAAUAAGCGCUUAUUUAAGUCUACAAUCCUUUCUUGUAAAGGCCAAUUUCUUGCAGAUGCCUAUUUGGAAAUCUGUUGGGCUUAUACCGACUUAGAUGCUUGACUUAAAUUGGAUUUAUUGAUAUAUACCUCCAUCGAAUUUGGUGAGACUUCCCGUGCGUGUUGGAUCUGGCUGCCUAUCACUUCCCCUUGAACUAAUUCCUCUUACAAUUGCUUAACUUUGUCUAAACAGCGACCAGAGAUCAUUGUCCACUUCUCCUAAAACGAAUGUCCACUUCUACUGUUAUUGAUUGUGCUGCAGGCUGGCCUUCGGCGCGUAUUAGUUUUCCAUGACUUGAUUUGCAUCGGCCAAGGUGGGGCGGCUCUCGUUAACCUGAACGCGAACAAUUCUCAUCAAGUGUUGAGGUCUACUAUAGCGCAAAAGGGUAAAGUGCUAGGCUUGGGCACCCGACUCAUUUGCAGUCUAUAUAUUCCCAUACAAGGAAUGGGAUGAUUUUCUAGAAUAGAUAGUCGUUCCUCCCCCAUACAAGGAUGGACGGUAGAAUGGACACUUAUUUACCUUUUUCAAAAUUGAAAUUAGUAGGCAGGAAACUCACAACUUGAGGCAUAUUUUCAAGGGCAUCAACAGGGCUGGAGGUUGUGUGUUUUGCUAGGAAAAGGAUAGAUCUGCCCUUUUUAAAUUUUAGAUUUUGGCUUAUAGAUAGCGCCAAGGCGUGGGGAAGGUUGGAUCGUUUACCUGCUGACCACAGUGGCUUGGAUAGACACAAAAAGAAUAAAAAAUAAAUAGCUACACAAAAGGGGGUUGUAAGUUGCGAUGCUAUUCGCAUUUACCUUGGCAUAAGCUCCGCUGAAGACCGCGGGGUUUACAAAUGAGCGCGCGGGCGUAUUGAGCUGCAGGAAUGGUUAUUGCUCUCUUAGUGCGACAGGUGUAGUUUCUGCACAGAAGCAGACAGACAGACAGACGCGCACGCUAAAAACAACAUCAGCAACAACACCCAAGCAGACAUCUGUAUAGCCAAAUAUUUCUAUAACUGUCAUUGCAACUACGGGUGGGUAGGAGGGAAGCCAGCUUGGAAUGUACAGAGCAUUCGACUGGCAUUUAAAAAAAUAGUUACUGUACUUAAUUUAUUUCUAUUCCGCCUUUCCCCCCAAAACCGGGACUCAAGGCGGCUUAAUUCCUCUUUGAGACUCAGGUUCCUCUGAGGAAAACAACACCGCAGCAUAUUCGUAAAACAAAACAAAACAAGCCAAGGAAAAGGGAAUUUGGGGCGCAUCCCAUCCAAAACUUGUUUAUAGCUAUUAUAUUUCUAUACCGCCUUUCACCAGAAAAAUUUGCGCAGGACGGUUUACAACCAAACAGAGCGUUAGAGAACAUCACACACCAUAAGCAAGAUCGUUUUCAAAAAAUAUGGUGUUUUCAGUUUUUAAAAAAAUAAUGAUGGUUAAGUAGACAAAAAGCAUAAUUAUUUAUGCAUUUCAAAUACCGUAUCUAAUUUAACGCGGGGGUUCGUCCCAAGCUCGAGUCCCUUCAUUAGACUUAAAUCGGGAAGGGAUGGAGGUCUUGCUUUUUUUUCCUCAGCGCACCCGCGGAGCGCCUGAGAUGUCGGAGGCGCAGGAAAAGCGCAGCGCAGGGUAAGGAAGUGGACCCUAGCGAUGGGAUUAACGCACCAAGCCCGCAAGAUUUUGCCCGGUGAGUUGUGACUUGAUUUUAGGGCUAGAGUCGCCAGCAAACUUUACUGCAAGUUUGGACUGCAUGCAAGAAGCGGGUGGGGAUAAGGAAUACUGUGAAAACUGUAUCCUUCUAAACCUCUCAAACCUUCUAAAUCUCUCAAAUCCACAUCCUGCCUGGAAUAUUGCGGAGUUUGCCUUUAAAUUGCUUUCAAGGUGGUAUCUAUGCAUCACCCCAUAAAACGCCAUUUAUGAAGAAGCAAUGGGGGGCACUAAUAUUUGGAAGAAUUGUAGCAAAACAGGCACGUAUAUCGGUUGGAGGGAGCGUGUGUUAAGGUGCAAAGAUAUCGGGUGAAAAAUACUCAUACCUACGAAGCAACUUACAGAGCUUUCAGUCCCCCUUUGAUCCCAUCAGAGUCCUGUUGGGUUUGGUGAUCAGAGAAGCGAUAAUAAUAAUAGCGACAGAGUUCCAAAACGGAACAGCAAAAUACGAGGUGGGAGGGUGGGGGAGAGAUAAAAACCUUCCUACUAUCCAAAGGUGGUAUGAUAAGUUUUUGGGGGAAAUAUUAACAAGAUAUAAAACCUCACAAUAAUUACAGGCUACAGCUAAUUCAAAUUUGAUUAUAGUUUUGUAAGAGCUUGAUGCCAGGUUCUAAGAUUCUCACUCGAGGCUCUCCUUUGAGUACUUUUGCCGUGGAAGGUGGGAGAAAAGAAAGAGGGAGCCUUUUCCGUGGUGGCCCCCCGUUGCAGAAUAUCCCCCCCACAACGAUAAAACUGGCACUGACACUACAAUCUUUUUUGGGAUGUUGUUGCUGUUGUUGUUGAUCAGAUUUCUUAGUAGCUUCUGAAAGUCUCCAAGCAACUUUCAUUUAAAAACAUAAAAGCUAAAAACUUUUUCAUACAAUCAAGCAUUUUAAAUAUUGGUUAGUGCUUUCAUCGCUUUAAAUUCUGCCUUGUUCUUGUUUUAUUAUUGUGUUUCAUCCUGGCAUGAUUUGCUUAGUCCUGCCCAUUGUAUACCACUUUGAUCCCUACAAGGAUGAGAGGAAGUUUAAAACAGGUAUUAAUUAAUUAAUUGUGUGUGUGAUUGACUCGGUCAACUGGACAUACUCUAAUAAUUCAUAGAAUCAGAGAGAUUCUAACUGAGAGAGAGAGAGAAUAUGCACACACAAUUUCAAGCUUUGUAAUUUUACAAUAAUGUAAAAUUCAACAUUAAAAACAAUCAAAACAAAUUGGAAUAGGAUUUACUGAAUUAUUUUAUACAUGUAUUCAAGCAAACCUUUUUUUAAAAAAAAUACUUCUAACCAUUCCUCCUUAUUUUUUUUUUAUUUUUAUUGGUGCUUGUUUGCUAAUUUAUAUUCCUUGGUCAUUCUAAAUUGUGCCCCACAGAAGAAGGAUUGUGUAUUUCAAAAUAUAAUGAGGCAAUGUCUGAAAUAAAUAGAAUUUUUUAAUAUAUAAAGAAGCAAAUUCCUUUUUUUCAGAAAUAUAUUAAAAUGCAAGAUUUGAUAAGCCACUUGGAGACCGAAACAAACCCUCAUUUAUCCUAGACUUUGCAAAUUGAUCUUCAUUCUCAACGCUCUUUGGGUUGGUUCAUAGAGGCAGCUCCUCAUGGAAAUCAAUGGACAAGUUUUCUCUUCUCUGAAGGAACACACUAAAUAGCUACAUGUUGAGAAGAAAACAGAAUUUUGAGGCACCUUUAAGGUGAAUUGAUUGAUUGUGGCAUAAAUUUCCAUGGAUUCCCAAACAUUUCAACAUGGAGCAGACCCAGAAAAGCUACUGCAAAAGUAAACCAAUUACUUUUUAAGUAUUUGGGGUUCGUAUUUUUUCGGCAGCAGGCAAUAAUGGCUACCUCUCUGGAAUAAGAAGAAAACAGGUGCUGAUCAGUCAUUUCCCAGAAUGCUAAAUAGCAAACUGUGUUUGGUGGCAGUUAGGGAUGGGCGAGGAAUUUGAUUCAGCUUUCAUUUAAAACCCAAUUUAAGAAAUUCACACUUUCUGAGACAACACGGCCAUCUGUCAAAAUUCACACUUGUCUGAAUUUUGUGACACAUUUCUCCAGUGUUUACAAAGCAGCACAUAUUAGGGGGAAAUGUGCCUAAAAAUGAAUAUAUUAGUAAAAAAUAAUGUACUGUAUUAGGAGAAAUUGCUUGCAAAAAUGUGCACCAAAACACCAUACAAAAAUCUGUUUAUUAGAAGAAAUUCACAUUAACAUGCUGAAGAAUUUUUAAGAGGAUUUUAAUUUUUUUUAAAUUUGCAAAUUGCUGCAUAAACAUGGAGAACUGAAUCUCAGACUGGAAAAUGAGAAAUUGAGCAAACCCAAACUGACAGAUCAUUCCAUUCCUAGUGACAGUACUAGGGGUGGAAAAACAGGAAACUCAAAGAGCGUUCCUAGAGUCAGGUGAGCAUAUGAAAAGCGUAUUUCCUUUGAGUCAACACUGGGUUCCAGCAAUGGAGGAGAAGAGGGUGAUAUACUUGUCUGGGUGCUUGCAGCUCUGUGUUACUGAUGUGCUUUAAAAAUCACGAAGAAUGCCAGAGCUAUGGGCAAAGGAUUGGAAUCCUACAUAGCCAACCAAAGCUCUGACAUUCUUAAAGCACCUCUCUUGCUUCUUUAGGUUGGAAGUUUCACCCCUGGCAGAACCACUUCUCUUUAGCAGCUGUAUGGCAGGCAAAGAUUCAAACGAGCACUUACUGUUCCCAGCCUUAACCCUGCGGAAAGCCAUCUAAUUAAUUUGAUUUUGACCUGUUUUUAGGAGGUAAUUUAAUUAUUGUUUGAUUUUAUACUAAUGUUAUAUAUCUGAUGUUAGCUGCCCUGUGUCUGACUUUGGCCGGGGAGGGCAGGAUAUAAAUAAAAGAUUAUUAUUAUUAUUAUUACUAUUAUUAUUACUGGUUUCCCACCAUCAAGGAAAAGGAGAGACGAGGACCAACUUCAGUUGCUAAACGCCUGCCUUUCAUGCACCUAUGAAUAUGUGUGUAUGUUUUUUUAAAAUGUAUUUUUAUUAAAGAUUUUCUUAGUUUACAAAAGUAUGUGCAAUCUCUCUCUCUCUUCCCCCCCCCCUCCAAGUAACAUUUUUUACAGAUCAGUUUCAUUUGUUGAGACAUUUGGAAGAAGAGGGGGAAAGGGGGUGGGAGAUGAGUGUGGGUGGGGUGGCAAUGUUUCUAUUACGCUUCAUAUAUGUGGGGUUUUGUGUCAGCGUCGCUUGUGCAGGUUCUAUGCUAUUCACUUGUGUUCCUUUGGUGGUGAGAGAGUUUGGAGUUGGCCUAGGGUGAGGUUGUUUGUUUGUGAUUGCCUGUGGUGAUCUUUGUUUUCAUGUGUGAGUGGAGUGGGUGAGUGUUUUGGAUCAGGUUAGCCACAUUUAUUGGUAUGCUGUUGGUGGAUUUUUGUCAAUGUCUUGUUGGGCUGUGUAUGUGAUAAAGGGGAGCCAUACCGGGGUGAAGGCGUCUUCUUCUAUUUGUCCCCGUCUCAGUUUCAGUUUAUUGGUUAAUUUUUCUAGCAUGUGUGUAGGUUUGUGAGUUUAUGUGAAUGUGUGCACAUAUCCGCAUUCACACAACCGUUUCCCUCUUCCUGCCCUUUGCCAGGCCCAGCUAUUCCCACUGGCAUGCAGCCUCCACCCAACCAGGGCUUUUUUUCCAGCCGAAACUCACUGGCACUCAGUUCCUGCACCUCUCAGGUGGGUGCCAUUGCCAUUAUAAGAGAGCGAGGUUCAUGGCAAGUCCUGGCACCUCAUUUUCUAGAGAAAAUAGCACUGCACCCACCCACUCACCUCAUGUCAUCGUCAGGGGCAAAAAGGUUGCCCAGUCUGGUCUUUUGGUUUUUUGUUUUGUUUAUUUAUUUGCAUUUUUUAAAUUCAUUCAUAUAUUUGUUUAUUUUUAUUUUUCAGAUAACAAUACAAAAAAGAAGAGACUACGACAGAGAGCAACCCCUCCACCCUACCAUGCAGAAAUACAGUGCACAAAAUUAGUAGCAUCGGACAAUAAAUUUAUUUUGCUUAUUAGAUAAAGGUGCCAUUCCACAGACUCCCAUGCGCUGUUGGUGGUCUGUAGCCAUGCUCCUUUGGUGUCGCAUAUAAAAGCAAACUAUACCAAGCUGAAGCAAGAGGGUUUGAUUUUUUGCCUCUUGGUUUUUCCUCGCAUGCAAGUGCUUGGUUUGUUCAUUAAUAUUAGGU